UUAAUUGCACUUACCUCCUCCCCCGGGGCUUCAAUCUGAGCUCAAGGUGGGAUAGGCAGUUGUUGUCGACAAAUUACAACCACCCAAAUCCACAGAGACCGGCUGA